rnacentral:misc_RNA from 1 species
GGAAGUAAAAGUCGAACAAGGUCUCCGUUGGUGAACCAGCGGAGGGAUCAUUACAGAGUUGCAAAACUCCCAAACCAUUGUGAACGUUACCUAUCCCGUUGCUUCGGCGGGCGGCCCGGGCCCCGCGCCCGGCGCCCCCCGGCCCCCCGUGGGCGCCCGCCGGAGGUAAACCAAACCCUUGAAUUGCAUGGCCCCUCUGAGUCUUCUGUACUGAAUAAGUCAAAACUUUCAACAACGGAUCUCUUGGUUCUG